AGCAAUCCUAGCGGCGAACGGCUGCGUAACACGUUGGUACCUACCCCGAACUCAGGGAUAACCAUCCGAAAGGAUGGCUAAUACCGGAUGGUCUCGUAAGAGUAAAGCUUCGGCGGUUCGGGAGGGGCCUGCGGCCUAUCAGGUAGUUGGUAAGGUAACGGCUUACCAAGCCUAUGACGGGUAGCUGAUUUGAGAGAAUGAUCAGCCAGAAUGGAACUGAGACACGGUCCAU
rnacentral:rRNA from 1 species